rnacentral:lncRNA from 1 species
CUUAAAUAAAAAACAACAAAAAAAGAAAGAAGAAAAAAGUAAAAUGAAAAGGAAAAAUAUCUUCUUCUCCCUCAUCCCCACCCCCGCUCUUGAACCCAAUAUCAGAAAUCUACCAUCACCACCACAUGGUCUAAAAUUGACCACCUAUCUCCUUUCCACCAAUGAGUGGGAACCACGCACCAAGUAGGAACCAAAGCAACAGCUAUGGAUAGGAAAUGCUCAAGCAGCCAUGGAGGUUUGAACUUAAAUCACUUAUAUCACACAUAGCCCCAUUCAAUACGACGCUGUCAAAUGGCCUCAUUGGCACAUCCCUAUCACGGUGAAGCGUGAUCAGUAAUGCAAUUGCCCUACCCAACGACUCUGCAUACAGAAACGUCGACAAAUUUGUGGCAUAACGCACAUGAAACUUAUUGAAAAAUAGAAUACAUUCAUCUACCACGAGAUUGAUAUUGGGCAAAUGGGCAAUUAGGCCCUUGGAAUAGCCAUGGCCAAUAUGGUCUAUAGCAUAAACAGCAAAUCCGUGCUUGGCGAUAUGAACGAAAUCAAUUGAAUGAACCAACUGGACUUUCCCUGUGUAACCAUGGACCACGCAUACAAUACCCUUGAUGGGGGCUUGGGGUCGACCAUUGUGUGAAGAGAUUGAGGCCUCUGCUUGCUGGUGAUGCUUUCAGAGGCGUGGGGGAGAAGAAAUUUUUUUUCCUUCUCAUUUU